rnacentral:rRNA from 1 species
UGCCUUAGUAACGGCGAGUGAAGCGGCAACAGCUCAAAUUUGAAAUCUGGCGUCUUUGGCGUCCGAGUUGUAAUUUGCAGAGGGCGCUUUGGCAUUGGCAGCGGUCCAAGUUCCUUGGAACAGGACGUCACAGAGGGUGAGAAUCCCGUACGUGGUCGCUAGCCUUUACCGUGUAAAGCCCCUUCGACGAGUCGAGUUGUUUGGGAAUGCAGCUCUAAAUGGGAGGUAAAUUUCUUCUAAAGCUAAAUACUGGCCAGAGACCGAUAGCGCACAAGUAGAGUGAUCGAAAGAUGAAAAGCACUUUGGAAAGAGAGUUAAAAAGCACGUGAAAUUGUUGAAAGGGAAGCGCUUGCAGCCAGACUUGCUUGUAGUUGCUCAUCCGGGUUUUUACCCGGUGCACUCUUCUAUAAGCAGGCCAGCAUCAGUUUGGGCGGUUGGAUAAAGGUCUCUGUCAUGUACCUCUCUUCGGGGAGAACUUAUAGGGGAGACGACAUGCAACCAGCCUGGACUGAGGUCCGCGCAUCUGCUAGGAUGCUGGCGUAAUGGCUGUAAGCGGCCCGUCUUGAAACACGGACCAAGGAGUCUAACAUCUAUGCGAGUGUUUGGGUGUCAAGCCCGAGCGCGUAAUGAAAGUGAACGGAGGUGGGAACCCCUCGGGGUGCACCAUCGACCGAUCCUGAUGUCUUCGGAUGGAUUUGAGUAAGAGCAUAGCUGUUGGGACCCGAAAGAUGGUGAACUAUGCUUGAAUAGGGUGAAGCCAGAGGAAACUCUGGUGGAGGCUCGCAGCGGUUCUGACGUGCAAAUCGAUCGUCAAAUUUGGGCAUAGGGGCGAAAGAC